rnacentral:rRNA from 1 species
AUACGUAGGGGGCGAGCGUUGUCCGGAAUGAUUGGGCGUAAAGGGCGCGUAGGCGGCCCGGUAAGUCUGGAGUGAAAGUCCUGCUUUUAAGGUGGGAAUUGCUUUGGAUACUGUCGGGCUUGAGUGCAGGAGAGGUAAGUGGAAUUCCCAGUGUAGCGGUGAAAUGCGUAGAGAUUGGGAGGAACACCAGUGGCGAAGGCGACUUACUGGACUGUAACUGACGCUGAGGCGCGAAAGUGUGGGGAGCAAACAGGAUUAGAUACCCUGGUAGUCCACACUGUAAACGAUGAAUGCUAGGUGUAGGGGGUAUCGACCCCUUCUGUGCCGCAGUUAACACAAUAAGCAUUCCGCCUGGGGAGUACGGCCGCAAGGUUGGAACUCAAAUGAAUUGACGGGG